UUGAACGAAGCAUAUGAGUGGAAGCCUUCGGGUGGAAAGGCAUAUGACUGACCGGCGGACGGGUGAGUAACGCGUGAGCAACCUGCCUGCAAGAGGGGGACAACAGCUGGAAACGGCUGCUAAUACCGCAUAAGACCACAGCAUCGCAUGAUGAAGAGGUCAAAGGAGGAAUCCACUUGCAGAUGGGCUCGCGUCCCAUUAGGUAGUUGGUGAGGUAAGGGCUCACCAAGCCGACGAUGGGUAGCCGACCUGAGAGGGUGAUCGGCCACACUGGAACUGAGACACGGUCCAGACUCCUACGGGAGGCAGCAGUGGGGAAUAUUGGGCAAUGGGGGAAACCCUGACCCAGCAACGCCGCGUGAGGGAAGAAGGCUUUCGGGUUGUAAACCUCUGUCCUUGGGGACGAAGUAAGUGACGGUACCCAAGGAGGAAGCUCCGGCUAACUACGUGCCAGCAGCCGCGGUAAUACGUAGGGAGCAAGCGUUGUCCGGAAUUACUGGGCGUAAAGGGUGCGUAGGCGGCCUGGUAAGUCAGAUGUGAAAUACCCGUGCUUAACAUGGGGGGUGCAUCUGAUACUGUCAGGCUUGAGUGCAGGAGAGGAAAGCGGAAUUCCUAGUGUAGCGGUGAAAUGCAUAGAUAUUAGGAGGAACACCAGUGGCGAAGGCGGCUUUCUGGACUGUAACUGACGCUGAGGCACGAAAGCGUGGGGAGCAAACAGGAUU
rnacentral:rRNA from 1 species